AUUGAACGCUGGCGGCAGGCCUAACACAUGCAAGUCGAACGAGUGGCGGACGGGUGAGUAAUGUCUGGGAAACUGCCUGAUGGAGGGGGAUAACUACUGGAAACGGUAGCUAAUACCGCAUACCCACAGAUGUGCCCAUAUGGGAUUAGAUUGUUGGUGGGGUAAUGGAUCACAAAGGCGACGCUCCCUAGCUGGUCUGAGAGGAUGACCGUCAAGACUGGAACUGAGACACGGUCCAGACUCCUACGGGAGGCAGCAGUGGGGAAUAUUGCACCAUGGUAGCAAGCCGUAUGCAGCCAUGCCGCGUGUAUGAAGAAGGCCUUCGGGUUGUAAAGUACUUUCAGCGGGGAGGCGUUACCCGCAGAAGAAGCACCGGCUAACUCCGUGCCAGCAGCCGCGGUAAUUC
rnacentral:rRNA from 1 species